rnacentral:rRNA from 1 species
AGUGAACGCUGGCGGUAGGCCUAACACAUGCAAGUCGAACGGCAGCACAGUAAGAGCUUGCUCUUACGGGUGGCGAGUGGCGGACGGGUGAGGAAUACAUCGGAAUCUACUUUUUCGUGGGGGAUAACGUAGGGAAACUUACGCUAAUACCGCAUACGACCUACGGGUGAAAGCAGGGGAUCUUCGGACCUUGCGCGAUUGAAUGAGCCGAUGUCGGAUUAGCUAGUUGGCGGGGUAAAGGCCCACCAAGGCGACGAUCCGUAGCUGGUCUGAGAGGAUGAUCAGCCACACUGGAACUGAGACACGGUCCAGACUCCUACGGGAGGCAGAAGUGGGGAAUAUUGGACAAUGGGCGCAAGCCUGAUCCAGCCAUACCGCGUGGGUGAAGAAGGCCUUCGGGUUGUAAAGACCUUUUGUUGGGAAAGAAAAGCAGCAGGUUAAUACCCCGCUGUUCUGACGGUACCCAAAGAAUAAGCACCGGCUAACUUCGUG